GGAUGAAGGAUGAAUAAAAGUGGCAAGUACCUAAUAAUUUAAGGCAGUGACAUGUGAAGAAGCAGAGAAAGGAAAGAACUGAACUUGAAGGUCAAAGAAAUGAGAAUAAUUAACGUUAAGACAGUUAAGUGUUGAAAAGCUUUCCACUUGGUGAACAUGUGCCCUAACUGUUCCUAAGUUGUACCUGUCAUGUCUGACAGAGUCUCCAGUUCUCGGGCAGCAGAGGGCCCCAGAGCAAUGGUGUGGAUGACGGCACCACUGCGCUUGACGGCCUCAAAGCAUGAACUUAUUCCAUUAUCUUCCCCAUCUGUCAGCAAUACGAUCUCAGAACCGGAAGUGCUCUGGUCACUGGAGCUGACUUGAUACAUGGGGAUGAGUAAACAUUAGAUGUCUCACUUUUAAACCUCCAGAGAUAGAGAUGUUGGCUACUCAGUAGAGGAUGAACAACUUUCCAAUAAUGAUUUCUGGCAUAUAGUAGCUACUAAAUGAAUAAAAAUUA
rnacentral:lncRNA from 1 species